UACAGAGGGUGCGAGCGUUAAUCGGAAUUACUGGGCGUAAAGCGUGCGUAGACGGUUAUUUAAGUCGGGUGUGAAAGCCCCGGGCUCAACCUGGGAAUUGCAUUCGAGACUGAAUAGCUAGGGUGCGGUAGAGGGAAGCGGAAUUUCCGGUGUAGCGGUGAAAUGCGUAGAUAUCGGAAGGAACACCAGUGGCGAAGGCGGCUCACUGGCCCGGUACUGACGCUGAGGUGCGAAAGCGUGGGGAGCAAACAGG
rnacentral:rRNA from 1 species